rnacentral:lncRNA from 1 species
CAAACAAAAAUGCGCUUUUUAAGUUUUGUGAACAUCUUUAGACCAGUCCUUCAAAUAUUGAGUUUUGGGACGUGUCAAAUAGAUGGCGUGUUGAUUGUGUCAGUUAUGGGCUUAUGGCGGUUUGCUGUCAAAAGUUAUAAGCUAUCUUUUCUUCGAAAAUUAACAAUGAAUUCAUAGUAUGAAACGUGUAAGAGUAGUGCAGCCUACUGUCAACUAUUUUGUUCAAAAUUAUUGUUAAUCAUCUACUGAAUCAUUUCAUUUACUGAAAUCAUUUACUGAAUGUGCCAUUGAAAUGAUACAGGAUUCAUCAUAAUUGUCCGCUGUUUGUAUUUGACUUGCAGACUUGCUAGAUCACCAACCCCAGCGUGGACCAAUCUCUCAUUCCAUUUUCUGGUGAACCUUGGAUUUGGUUCGAUGGUUGAUUUGGAUCGAUGGUUUCAUGUGUUUCUAAAUUGGCAUUUGACAGACUUAUUGAGAAGUCAUGUCCUUUCAAGAAAAAGGAC